AUGAAAAUAAAGUUAAAAUGUGAAAUAAAGUUUAGCAUGGUAGUAAUUCCAUUUUUUAUGUGUUAUUUUCCCCCCAACCCCACAGGGAAAGUCUACUGCUUUAUCGUGAGUCUCCAAAUCAUCCAAAUGCUAAAGCUUCUAUUCUGGAAGACCUAUUCCUCCUUGACACAUUAUUUUCUACAAGACUUCAUUUAUGUAAUAUUUGGCUUUGUGGACACCUGCUAAGGACUGGCAUGUCUGGCAUACAGCAGGAAUUAAACAAAUGGAAAUGAGCAUAAAGAAGGUAUGAAAUGUGAAGCAAGUACAGGUUGGCUACUUUGAUUUCAUAUUAAAAAGUACUUGUGUAUUUUUCUUAGAACCAUUUUUUCCCUAUAGGCUUUAUGGGUGUUGUUGUUUUUUACUCUUCUUAAAAAGAUCUAUAGGGUUUAUCGGCUGGUGAACUGUGGUGAAGAUGCAAUAAGCCUAGCUGUUGAAACAGGAGCCAACUUUGCAUUUUGUGAAAGGAAAGAACAUAGGAAUGAUCCUGUUUGGACCAGGCCCUGAGCUUGAUAUGGAAAUCCUCUAAUUACUAAUGGGGUUGAACAAGAGCAGAUGAAGAGAUAAAGCUAUGGUCGAAAGGACUUCAUCUCUUGGACUGUAAUGGGACACUUUAAAUAUCUUAGUUGUGCCUGUUGUGACUUAAACCAAUUAAAGGUGGUCUUUCAUGGAGAUCUGCUAUUUUGGGAAAGCUCAAAUUUACCUGAGGAAAAUUUAUUGUUAAUAAGUUUAUUCAGUACAACCACAUGGGGAAUAUCAUUUUGAUGGGAGAGAUAAUCCUCAGCCAUUUAACCAAGUAAGAAUAGGAAUGCCUCAAUUCCUGGAUCAAAAUGUACAUACAGAAGGACAGAGGAAAAUAAUCUUUUUGCUUUGGUUUCAAAGGCUUGGUGGUUGAAUGCUUGCCCCAGUGAGGCACUAGAGCUUUGUGUUAAAAUGUCAGGUCUGGAAUCAAAGUAACCAUGUCCCAGUCUUGGCUAAUACUUAACUCAGUGAUCUUAAUUCCAUGUACUUCAAUGUCCUUAUCCAUAAAAUGAAGACAAAAAUGACAACAGUCGUGUAGGAUUGUUUUAAGGAUUAAG
rnacentral:lncRNA from 1 species